UACGUAGGGUGCAAGCGUUGUCCGGAAUUAUUGGGCGUAAAGAGCUCGUAGGCGGUUUGUCGCGUCGGCUGUGAAAACUCGGGGCUCAACUCCGAGCUUGCAGUCGAUACGGGCUGACUGGAGUUCGGCAGGGGAGACUGGAAUUCCUGGUGUAGCGGUGAAAUGCGCAGAUAUCAGGAGGAACACCGGUGGCGAAGGCGGGUCUCUGGGCCGAUACUGACGCUGAGGAGCGAAAGCGUGGGGAGCGAACAGG
rnacentral:rRNA from 1 species